rnacentral:rRNA from 1 species
AUGCCUGUACCAUAACCGACACAGGUGGGUAGGUAGAGUAUACUAAGGGGCGCGAGAUAACUCUCUCUAAGGAACUCGGCAAAAUGACUCCGUAACUUCGGGAGAAGGAGUGCCUUAUUUAUAAGGUUGCAAUAACAAGAUCCAAGCAACUGUUUAUCAAAAACACAGGUCUCCGCUAAGUCGUAAGACGAUGUAUGGGGGCUGACGCCUGCCCAGUGCCAGAAGGUUAAAGAAGUUGGUUAGUGUAUGCGAAGCUGAUGACUGAAGCCCUGGUGAACGGCGGCCGUAACAAUAACGGUCCUAAGGUAGCGAAAUUCCUUGUCGGGUAAGUUCCGACCCGCACGAAAGGCGUAAUGAUUUGGAUACUGUCUCGGAGAGAGGCUCGGUGAAAUAGACUUGUCUGUGAAGUUGCGGACUACCUGCACCAGGACAGAAAGACCCUAUGAAGCUUUACUGUAACUUGAAAUUGGAAUUGGACUUUGCUUGCGCAGUAUAGGUGGGAAGCGUUGAAGAUAUUCUUGCGGGAGUAUUGGAGCUAUCAGUGAGAUACCACUCUUGUAAUGUUAGAUUUCUAACUUUGAACCAUAAUCUGGUCAAAGAACAGUUUCAGGUGGGCAGUUUGACUGGGGCGGUCGCCUCCCAAAUGGUAACGGAGGCGUACAAAGGUUUCCUCUGAACGGAUAGAAAUCGUAUCUAGAGUGUAAAGGCAUAAGGAAGCUUGACUGUGAGACCUACAAGUCGAGCAGGGACGAAAGUCGGUCUUAGUGAUCUGACGGUACUGAGUGGAAAGGCCGUCACUCAACGGAUAAAAGUUACUCUAAGGAUAACAGGCUGAUCUCCCCCAAGAGUUCACAUCGACGGGGAGGUUUGGCACCUCGAUGUCGGCUCAUCGCAUCCUGGGGCGGUAGUACGUCCCAAGGGUUGGGCUGUUCGCCCAUGAAAGCGGUACGCGAGCUGGGUUCAGAACGUCGUGAGACAGUUCGGUCCAUAUCCGGUGUAGGCGUUAGAAUAUUGAGAGGAGCCUUCUUUAGUACGAGAGGACCGAGAAGGACACACCGCUGGUGUACCAGUUAUCGUGCCAACGGUAAACGCUGGGUAGCUAUGUGUGGAGUGGAUAACCGCUGAAAGCAUCUAAGUGGGAAGCCCACCUCAAGAUGAGUAUUCUCAUCACUAUAAGUGAGUAAGGUCACGGUAAGACUAACCGUUUGAUAGGCAUUAAGUGUAAAUGUAGUAAUGCAUGUGCUGAGAUGUCCUAACAGACCGAGGACUU